GAUAAGCAUGGUUGUUGAAGGCAAAAGAACUCAAGCAAUUUUUGAUGAUGUGUUUUCUUCGAUGGUUGCUGAUGCUCAGCCAAUUCCAGGGUUUCGAAGAGUCAAAGGAGGUGGGCUAUUCCUGAAGUUAUCUCAGCUGUAUAUUUUACAGAAAUGUACUUUUAAGCUGUUGAAGUCAAUCAAAUGCUUUUUCUAUUACUUCUGAGCUCCAUGUUUUUCCUUCUGGUGUAUUUCAUGACUCAACGUCCUCUAGGAUAUUUUUUUCCCCAUAUUUUAUUGCUGACAUGGCUCUUGAUUUGUGAUUUUCCUCUUUAUUUGGUCGUCUGUUGCUGACAACUGGGGUCUAUCAGGAAAGACACCAAAUGUAAGUUGUGCUUCAAUUAAACUUCACAACAUUAAUACAUGGUAGAAGCAUCAUACAUGCAUGACUGUCUAUGGUACCAUCGGAUAACAUAACUCUGUAAAUUUGGAUUUACAUGUCCAAACAUUCAACUUCAUUGUUAAAAUCAAUUUAGUUUUGGUUCAUGGCCCUAGAGGUCCAGGUACGUAGUUAUUAGCCAACAAUGACAUAGAUGCAGAAAUCAAGAUCUCACCAUUCCCAUUUCCACUGUACAGACAUGUAACAGAUUGAUGUGAAAACAGUAUUCUUGUCUAAAUAAAUUUUGCAAAUAAAGUCAGAUUCCUGCAUGGGCAUUUAGAUUUUGUUUGAGCCAGUAGAUACAUCUGUUUCUGAUGAAAAUACCUAGGCUUGUGAAUCGCAUAUUCUUUUCUACCCAUUUGGAUAUAGGUUUUAUCUCCAUUUUUCGGGACUAAGCUUACCAUUCCUGAGAAUAAAAGUGGUUUUAGUUCUAUCAUGAAAAGCACAAGGACAGCUCAUUUGAGAGGAAAACUCUCUCUCUCUCUCUCUCUUGGUUCUCGAGAAAGAAUGUAAAUGCUAAAUUUUUUGAAAGAUAGAUAAAUCGCUCUUUCAGGCUAUAUCUUCAUUGCAUGAGUAAAAAUAUGUAAUUAUAUUCUAUUUUCAGUUAUGUCAUAAUUUCAGGAGUAGUUUUCAGAUUAAUGUUUCCAAUUUUCUUGCAGAUACCCAAAAACAUUCUUUUGGAAAUUCUUGGGCCAGCAAAAGUUUACAACCAAGUCAUUAAAAGAAUAAUAAGCUCUACCAUCUCUGAUUAUGUGCAGAAGGUAGAUCCAAUAGGUUCCUUUCCUUCCAAUCCAUUCCUGACAUGUUUUGCUUGGUGCUGGAGAAUGCUUGUUUGUUUUUUUUUUCCUUUUUUUAUGCUCUUGUGCUAGCUUGUGCUUGGUAUUCUUCUCUUGUUUAGUUCCAUAUUGCUCUUAGUUUGCUUUGAGAGGCUGUACAAUUUACAUAUUGCACUAGCAUAAGCUUUCAGAGUAUAACAAUUGUUCUACAUUCAAUUUUGGUUUAGAUUUAGGGAAGCUUAAAUGGGAUUAACCUUUUUCUUACUCUUCCCAUCAUGCCUUGGGGUUAUCAAAAACAUAGAUAACUUUGAUUGAGACAUUUGAUACCAGCUAUGGUGAAAAACUGACUUCCAACUAUUACUGUUUUAGUAUAAUAGGGUGAUUAUCUGGCAUUUGGAACCCCAAUUACCGUGUAAGGGAUAUUGGACAAGAAUGAGCAAUUAGCAUCAAUUAAUGCAUCCGAAGAAUAUAAGACUUGCUUUUCAGAACUAUAAAAUGCUGCUUCAUGUAGUCUCUUUCAGUUUUAUCGUUGUAUUACACCUAUCGAUCUGGAAAGGUUUCACGACUCUCAUGAGCUAAGCUAUUGAGUUGAUGGUUACAGUUUUACUGCAUUUUAACAUUCUGAAAUCAGAGGGCAACUUGUCAGUCUUUGAGGUAUUAAGUGUUUAUCAUCCUUUCCACAAAUCUCUAUUUUAACCAAAUUCAAUUUUCUACUUGCCUCUUAUGCUAAGGGAGUCACUACCUCUUGUUAAUCCCUCUUUCAUUAGGAUUAUUCUUGAAUCUAUAAGAUGCCACGAUGUUAGCUACUUAUAUCCUUCUAGAAGCAUAUCCAAGUGGUCUCUUGUACACUUGAAGACCAAGAAUUUGUCUUCGUCUAGCAAGCUGGCUUACAUCCAAAAAGCGGUUGCAUGACAAAGAUAUUUUGUAUGUGCUUUUCCAUAUAAUUCAGAUUUACCCUAAACAUGUAUUAGGUGGAACCUUCUGCCAUUUUCUUACUCUCAAUAGUUACAAUCUUACGAUCAUCAUAACCUUUUCUUUGAAAAUGGAUAUAGCUAUAUUUAUGGCGAGGCAUCAUAACCUUUUCAUCUUUUCUGUUCAUCCUCUUCAUCUGUUCAUCUUUAAGUGACUAGAAUAUGAGCUAAAAUUGUGUUAUUCGUCAAUGCAUAUACAUACUGCAGGAAGGUUUGUCAGUUGGUAAAGAUUUGCGAGUGCAACAAAGUUUUGAAGAUCUUGAAGCAACAUUUGAACCUGGUGAUCAGUUCAAAUUUGAGGCCAUCCUUCAGUGUCAAGAUUGAAGUUUUACAAAUAAGCUUUUUGGUAUUUUAUUGUUGUUUAGAACUUAGCUU
rnacentral:lncRNA from 1 species